GGAAUAUUAGAAUCAUUUUACACAUGUGGAAUUGAGGUUCCCGUAGAUUUGAUUUUGCCUGGUCACAUGGCCCAUAAGUCUUGGAGCUGGGCCUGGAAUCCAGAUUUGCAGACUCCAAGCUAAACUCUUCCCUUGCAAUGGAGGCAUUAAACCAGAGGGAGGCGAUAUACUCACAUACAAGGGAAGGGUUGGCAUAAUGCUCAGUCAGAGAAGAGGCAGAACUCCUACAGUGGUUCCUCAACAAAGCAGAGAAGAAGCCAAGCAGAAUCAUCAGCCUUCGAUUGUCUUUGCUGUUGGCCAUAUGGGUAUCAGGCUGAUUCCAGAAAGUGGAAAAAAUAAAAAAGUUGAAAGCUGCCAGAGAAGCAAGGAAAGAACUGCGAAGGAAAAAAGAAGAGGAAGAGGAACGACUGAAUACUGAAGGCUGAAGACCUUUUGGUAGACAUGAACCUAGAAAAGAUCUGAUUUGAAAAAACUACCACAUUGAUGACCUCCCUGUCUAAUAAAGAAUUGCUUUCCUAUUAA